rnacentral:lncRNA from 8 species
GGUGGGAAUACAUUUUCUGAACAUCACGCGCCAAUGUAAAAUGGGGUUUAUGGAUAUAAAUAUGAAUUUUAUCGUACAAAACAUACAUGUAUUUUGUAACAUUGAGUCCUGGGAGUGUCAUCUGAUGAAGAUCAUCAAAGGUUAGUGAUUAAUUUUAGCUGUAUUUCUGUUUUUUGUGACGCCUCUCCUUGCUUGGAAAAUGGCUGUGUGGUUUUUCUUGUUUAGGUGCUGUCCUAACAUAAUCUAAUGUUAUGCUUUCGCCGUAAAGCCUUUUUUGAAAUCGGACACUGUGGUUGGGUUAACGGUUACCGGUUUAUGUGUCAAAUGAGGGGAAAAGCUUAGCUUGUCACAACACAAAGUAAGACUUCAAGAAUAUUUUUUCGUGGAUCCUGACGAUUUUCAUUUAAGGUGAGUAACGUAGAAAGAAGAUGGUCGAUAAGUUAUUUGUGUGUUCCAGAAAGCUGUGAAACUUAUUUGAUUUACGCCUGCCAACGGCCUUGUUGUUUGGUACUAGCUAUUUAUGUAACUUAGCUAAAUAAAUCUAUUAGGUUGGAUGUCUCUCUUCAGUAAGACAAUUGUAAAUGUAAUCAGUUUCUACCUUGUCAGUUCAUUGACUUGUUUGAGCCACUGCCAUCCAUGACGUAAACUAACAGUGCAGUAAGAUGGCUAAUAGUGACUGCCAACUACUGGUGGUUUCUUUCUGUCUUCAUCGUUCUCUCUAUAGGUAAGCUAAUGUAUCCAACUACCUGGAUGUUUUUCUACCCAUCAUUUUCUGUUUUUAGUAUAUCUCGUUUAUUUUCAGAUUGGAGGAUGAAGUGCUGAUAGUGUUUUAAUAUUUGGUCUAGGGAAAGUCUGAGGCCGAUCUGACAUCCUCUGGUGUGACAGAGAAGAGUGAAUGGCCCCAGCCCUGACCAAGCUCUCCAAAGACGCCCACGGAAUCCACUUGGCGACCACUCUCGCCCUCAGCAACAUGGAUGCAGAUGGGGCAAUGCUCAACAUGGAGUGUGAUCCUCAGUUGAAACUGAAGGAUGGCAGCUAUGCUCAGAGGGUGUGGCUCAACCUUUCCUCUCUGCCCUGUCUUGACACCUUUUGCUCUGGCACGAGUCCCCUUGAGGUUUCAGAGUCGCUCCUGUCCCCUCUGCUACAUGCCUCGGCUGGACAGUACAACACAGUGCUUCUCUCCAGCCCUGGUUCCCUGUUCAACCUCCUGUUCCUCAACAAAAACCUGAAGAAUUCCCUGGGGGCCUGUCCUGGUGCACAAGACAUGUAUUUUGUUCCCGUCACUGAACACAAUAGCCAAGGUGUGGUUCAGCAGCAGUGUCAGCACAGUGGCCAAGGACCAGAUGGCUAUGAUAUCCCCCAGUCACCUACAAAACACUGCCAGGGGGAUCUCAUGUCCCAGUACAACCCUGCUGUCCCCACACCCGGCAUAGCGAGGCAGGAGGAGGGGGGCACCAUCAGCACAGACACAGCUCUAGCCCAGCCAUGGACCAAAAGAACUAGGAGCCAAGGCCAGGAGCAGCCUGUGACUGCAAUGGUGGAGGAGGCAGUGAGAGAGCAGACCCGGUGGCGUCUCUCCCAACAAGCAGCCCUGUUAGGACAGGCUGGGCGGAUCCAGAGGAGGCUCCAGACUCUGCUAGGGGACCACCUUUCUAGCCACUCCAGCCUCCAGCUGGAGGGUCUAAAGAAGAGGCAGGGCAGGGAGACCCCGGGUCCCCCCUCACCCCCAGCUGACACCAAACCCUUUGAUCCAGCCAUGGGGCAGAGACCGACAGGUACACAGAGCCACAGGACCCAGGAGCUACUGCAAACCGUCUCAGUCCCAUCCUCUUCUAAAGACAUCCAGGAGUUUGCCAGCUAUGCCCAGGCUGUGCUGCGCACGGUGCAGGAGGCUGUAGACUCUGAUAUCACAGAGAGCAGCUCAGAUGAAGAAUUGGAGCCUGAGCAGAAAUGGGGGACCAGGUCUCGACCAGUGUGAGUAGAGGGAGCAAGAGAGACAUUUUGGUAAUAUACUGUAGUUAUAGUGUUGUUAAUUACUCAUGAGAAAUACAAUCUGUUGUUCAGUUAAGUAAGAAUGAUAGUGUUGUAUUUCAGGCUUUACUGGGAUGCAAAAACAUUGCCAUAGACUAAACUUAGGGCCCUAUAAAAGUUUAUAUUUUUUCCCUUAUUUUGUUUUCUCCGUUAGUUUUUUCCAGGUUUUUAAUAUAUAUAUAGACCGAAUAGAAAGUCAACACCAUUUGAUGUUCUAAGUCAGAGAUGGGCAAUUUUGAUGGGUGUGGGGGCCACCAAAAAUCUAAACUCAUGAGGGGCCUGCAGUGGCUCGCUGGUCUGCGUUCCCACAUCCAUACCCACACAUGCAGUCAACUGAUUUGUGCAGUUAAACUACAAACUGGCUUAACUAAAUGCAUUUUACCAGUCGCCAGGGCCGACCCUGGCCUUUUGGGGGCCCUAAGCGAGAUUUGGUUGGUGGGCCCCCACCUCACGGGCAAAACAUUUUACUGGCCCUGUCUUUAAAUGUUAGUUUAAAGUUCAUUUCCUGCAAUUCUACACAUUUUUGCCAUGGGGUGUAGAGGAAUGUUUCAGUUUUAAAGCAAGUUUUCUGCAAUUGUACACAUUUUGCCAUGAGCACAGAGAAAAGUUUGCAAUGUUAUACCAAAUUUCAUGAAAUUCUACUCAUUUUGUCAUGACUUUUAUAUAGUGUUAACAUGCGCUACAUGACCAAAAGUAUGUGGACACCUGCUCGUUGAACAUCUCAUUCCAAAAUCACGGGUAUUAUCCUCCACUCUCCUGGGAAUUCUGGGAAGUCUUUCCGCUGUCAGACAUGGAUGUUGGGCGAUUAGGCUUGCAGUCGGCAUUCCAAUUCAUCCCAAAGGUGUUCGAUUGGGUUAAGGUUAGGGCUCUGCAGGCCAGUCAAGUUUUCCACCUGUCCCCAACGGGCAAUCCACUAAUUUGAAGGGGUGUCAACAUACUUUUGUUUAUAUAGUGUACUUCUGUCGGUCAAUUUCUUAAGCUAAGACAGGUGGGAGGAGGGGGUGCUCCAGUACAGUAGGUACCAUAACGUUGGAUGCCAACUGGCGAUAAACCCCACAAGAAGAGGUGAUGGUGAAAAUGGUAGACAGUGGCUUACGCCCUCCACUGUCGGGCACUGUUUUCAUACUGUUCAGCUAACGACGGCAAGGGCAGGUGUUCGGCAGGCGGGAGCGAAGGACACUGUGCUAGCUAGCUAGUCCUACAGAGGACUCCGGUACAGAGCAGGCAGAGGUGGCGCACAGUGUCGCUAACUAGCAAGUUAGCUAGGACACAGUGUUGCACACAUUUAAACUGAGAAGUUAUUUACUGCUGCUCUUUUAAUUAUGUUAUUCUUAUCUCUUACUUUUUUUAGGUAUUUUCUUAACUACAUUGUAGGUAAGGGCUUGUAAGUAAGCAUUUCACUGUAAGGUCUACACCUGUUGUAUUCGGCGCAUGUGACACAUACAAUUUGAUUUGAAUAUCAAGUCGCACUCGCCAAAUCAACCAAAAGUCGCUGGGGCAGCCUACAUUUGUCGCUAUACUCGUUUACCAAUAAAAGUUGCUGGCGGGGUCUGAAACCUCUAAACCUCUAAAUCUAUCGACAAAGUUGAUAAGUUGGCAGCACUGAAACUGACUCUGUGGGAAUAGGGCUCCAACGGGCCACCCCCUUUUUGCUUCCUGAAUGAUGUCGGUGUUGGUUGAAGUAAGCUACUUCUUUGCAAAUGUUGUUGAUCAGUACAAUAAAAUAAGUUCUAAAUCGAAGGGAAACAGAUUGCCAUCUGUAGUCCCUUGAAAUCAGCCAAAACCAACUCAAUAACUCAAUGCAUGUGCACAUGCCUAUUGAAUAGGUUAUGCAUUCACCUGUAUUGUGAAUAGCCCUAUGCUACAUCUUGAUUUGCCCAGUUUAUCAAGAGAUUUACCAUUCAAAUAAAUGAUUACUGUUUAGUUAGAUUUGUAAUAACAAGGUCUAAUUGAUUGUAUGAUUGUAUAAUUGAUUAUUUAAUGCAUACAUUGCUGUCUCUGAAAAUGUUUGCCGUAGAACGUUAUAAUGAUAUUGAACUCAAAAGAUGCUCAACGAUUGAACAGCGUAGUAGCUGAGUUUAUUCCCGUGGAUCAAGUGCCAUUCUGUUACUUUGUUUUAUACUGUGCGCCUUCUUUUUUUGCCGUGGGAUUGGUUUGGUAUCGUGAUACUAAACCUGUAAUCGGUAUUAAAGUAAAUAUUCUGGUAUCGCGACAAUACUAGUCAGUGACUGACAUAAUGAGAAAAAACUGAUGCACAACCACAUUUUGAAAUUCUACCUCUCAACAGUAAGUUAAGACCCUGACUUCUUAUUUUUUUAUUUUAUUGAUCUUCGGGCCUACAAAAUGGGCUGCCCAUCCCUGUUCUUAGUCCACAACAAUGCGUAAACCACAUCAGUAGACCACUUUAGAGGUCUGGGAAAGAUUUAAGACAUUUUGGGGUGUAGCUUGUUUGGUUAGCAAUGUUUUGCUAGCGUCCAUGUGUUUUGCAAUUUUCGAAAACAAAUGGCUACUGAAUUGACGCAAAUAAUCAUGAUAUCAUUCUUCCAGGUAGGCUUGCGCUACAUUGUAGUUAAUAUUUAAUUUAGAAGGUUUUUGGUUAAGCCUUUCCAACUACCAGAAGACAGUUGUCACUAUAUUAGCCUCAUCGCUAACGUCUACACAAAAUGAUAGACAAACACGCACAGACAGGGGCAUGUGCUGUUGCCUCUUCAGAAAUGAACAGUAGUGUAUUUUCCUGUGUUAUGAUCUUUGGCAAAUUAAUGAAUGUUCUACACUGACAUUUUUUUUAUAAAUGUAAAAUGUUUGUCCCAUGUUUUAUGAGCUGAAAUAAAAGAUCCCAGAAAUGUUACAUACGCACAAAAAGCAACUUUUUGCGCACAAAUUUGUUUACAUCCGUGUUAGUGAGCAUUUCUUCUUUGCCAAGGUAUUUCAUCUACCUGACAGGUGUGGCAUAUCAAGAAGCUGAUUAAACAGCAUGAUCAUUACACAGGUGCACCUUGUGCUGGGGACAAUAAAAGGCCACUCUAAAAUGUGCAGUUUUGUCACACAACCCAAUGCCACAAAUACAAAUGUUUCAUGUUUUGAGGGAGCGUGCAAUUGGCAUGCUGACUGCAGGAAUGUCCACCAGAGCUGUGGCCAAAGAAUUUAAUGUUCAUAUCAAAUCUUAUUGGACACAUACAUUUGAGAAUUUGGCAGUACGUCCAACUGGCCUCACAACCACGGACCACGUGUAUGGUGUCGUGUUGGCGAGCGGUUUGCUGAUGUCAACGUUGUGAACAGAGUACCCCAUGGUGGGGUUAUGGUAUGGGCAGGCAUAAGCUACAGACAACAAACACAAUUGCAUUUUAUCGAUGGCAGUUUGAAUGCACAGAGGUACCGUGACAAGAUCCUGAUCCCCAUUGUCGUGCCAUUAAUUCGCCGCCAUCACCUAAUGUUUAUGUACACAUCUGGGAAGCUGAUAAUGCCCCAGUUCUUCCAUCGCCUGCAUACUCACCAGACAUGUCACCUGUUGAGCAUGUUUGGGAUGCUCUGCAUCGACAUGUACGGCAGCGUGUUCCAGUUCCCGCCAAUAUCCAGCAACUUUGCACAGCCAUUGAAGAGUGGGACAAAAUUCCACAGGCCACAAGCAACAGCAUAAUCAACUCAAUGCGAAGAUGUGUUGCGCUGCAUGAGGCAAAUGGUGGUCAUACCAGAUACUGACUGGUUUUCUGAUCCACGCCCCUACCUUUUUUUAAGGUGUCUGACCAACAGAUGCAUAUUUGUAUUCCCAGUCUUGUCAAAUCCAUAGAUUAGGCCUUCAUUUAUUUAUUUAAAUUGACUGACUUCCAUAUAUGAACUGU